GGGAAACAGUAAGUUCCACGCAGGCGCACAUCAUUCUUCACAAUAAAGGACACGCCAGAAUUGUGCAGUCGAGACCACAACUUUUGUGUACGUUUCAAAUGUAUUUCUACUGGCUCCGGUAUUUCCACGACACUCUCCUUCCACACUGAGUCCAAACCUACAGUCACUGGGUCCUGAUUGUGACAGUGGAGCCCAUUUUGAAUUGCAGGAUCCAGAGAUGGCAUCAGUGAAGCUGGAAGACUGCAGUCAAACACUGGAACUGAAUGCCAACAUUAAAGAUUAAGAAGAGGAGGAGAAGAUUGCGAAAUCUGUUUCUCAUGGUGUAGCACUUCUCUCAUCGUUUUAAAAACAAGAAAUGGACAGUGAUGGGGGUAAGGAGGGGAUACCUAGUCAUUUUUUGUGUCAUCAUUGCAUGCGAUCAGCAUUCUCAAAGGCGCUGUUUACUUCUAAGAUCACUUUAGCACUGCCCUAAAAACCCUAUUCAAAUUCGACACAAACCUUCAAAUAGGAAUGUAAUAAAACAUUUAUAUAAACUC